rnacentral:rRNA from 1 species
UACGAAGGGUGCAAGCGUUACUCGGAAUUACUGGGCGUAAAGCGUGCGUAGGUGGUUUGUUAAGUCUGAUGUGAAAGCCCUGGGCUCAACCUGGGAACUGCAUUGGAAACUGGCUUACUAGAGUGCGGUAGAGGGGUGCGGAAUUCCCGGUGUAGCAGUGAAAUGCGUAGAUACUGGGAGGAACACCGGUGGCGAAGGCGGCUACCUGGACCGGUUCUGACGCUGAUGCGCGAAAGCGUGGGUAGCAAACAGG